rnacentral:pre_miRNA from 1 species
CAUGACACGUAGUUCGCUGAAAUCUUACCGUGCAUUUCAGUUAACACGUGUCAAG